UAAUACGGAGGAUCCAAGCGUUAUCCGGAUUUAUUGGGUUUAAAGGGUGCGUAGGCGGCUUUUUAAGUCAGGGGUGAAAGACGGUAGCUUAACUAUCGCAGUGCCCUUGAUACUGAAGAGCUUGAAUAUACUUGAGGUAGGCGGAAUGUGACAAGUAGCGGUGAAAUGCAUAGAUAUGUCACAGAACACCAAUUGCGAAGGCAGCUUACUAAGGUAUAAUUGACGCUGAGGCACGAAAGCGUGGGGAUCAAACAGGAUUAGAUACCCUGGUAGUCCACGCCCUAAACGAUGAACACUCGAUGUUGGCGAUAUACGGUCAGCGUCAAAGCGAAAGCGUUAAGUGUUCCACCUGGGGAGUACGCCCGCAAGGGUG
rnacentral:rRNA from 1 species